rnacentral:rRNA from 1 species
UAGCAUAUCAAUAAGCGGAGGAAAAGAAACCAACAGGGAUUGCCCUAGUAACGGCGAGUGAAGCGGCAACAGCUCAAAUUUGAAAUCUGGCUCUUUCAGAGUCCGAGUUGUAAUUUGCAGAGGGCGCUUUGGCGUUGGGAGCGGUCCAAGUUCUUUGGAACAGGACGUCACAGAGGGUGAGAAUCCCGUACGUGGUCGCUAUCCUUCGCCGUGUAAAGCCCCUUCGACGAGUCGAGUUGUUUGGGAAUGCAGCUCUAAAUGGGAGGUAAAUUUCUUCUAAAGCUAAAUACUGGCCAGAGACCGAUAGCGCACAAGUAGAGUGAUCGAAAGAUGAAAAGCACUUUGGAAAGAGAGUCAAAUAGCACGUGAAAUUGUUGAAAGGGAAGCGCUUGCAGCCAGACUUGCCUGUAGUUGCUUAUCUGGACCUUUGUCCAGUGCACUCUUCUGCGGGCAGGCCAGCAUCAGUUUGGGCGGUUGGAUAAAGGUCUCUGUCAUGUACCUCCUUUCGGGGAGGCCUUAUAGGGGAGACGACAUGCAACCAGCCUGGACUGAGGUCCGCGCAUCUGCUAGGAUGCUGGCGUAAUGGCUGUAAGCGGCCCGUCUUGAAACACGGACCAAGGAGUCUAACAUCUAUGCGAGUGUUUGGGUGUCAAGCCCAGACGCGUAAUGAAAGUGAACGGAGGUGGGAACCUUUUAGGUGCACCAUCGACCGAUCCUGAUGUCUUCGGAAGGAUUUGAGUAAGAGCAUAGCUGUUGGGACCCGAAAGAUGGUGAACUAUGCUUGAAUAGGGUGAAGCCAGAGGAAACUCUGGUGGAGGCUCGCAGCGGUUCUGACGUGCAAAUCGAUCGUCAAAUUUGGGCAUAGGGGCGAAAGACUAAUCGAACUAUCUAGUAGCUGGUUCCUGCCGA